UGGAUUGGAAGUUCUGCGAACGCCAGACCUGCUUCCUGAAAGGAGUACUCAUAGGCGUGGUCGAUAACAUAUCGUGCUGUGGCAGUUACCUGAAAACAAUAAGAUUAAAGGACGCUGCUGGCGGCGUUCACUUUAAUCUUCGUCAACGAAACGGAUUUUUUGGUGUCGUUCAUCCAUUACCAAGGACAAUGUACCAAACAGGAGACUCCAUGCGGACCGUCCUCCCCCAGGCUGGCCCUGGAACACCUGAAGACACUGAGCUGAGAGUUGCGCAGAAGAUUGGACGGCAACUGGCAGAGAUUGGAGACGAGCUGAACCGGCAUUACCUCGAUGCCCCGCCAAACCCUUGGCUCCUCCCUGUUCUCAGAGCUGCCCACGCCCACCGCCAGGCCAGGAACCGCAUGUACAGGCAAUUGUUGGGUCACCAGGAGAUGCAAUGGAGCAGGCCAGGGGAGAUGUGGGUCUGGCUGACCUCUCUCCUCUGCAGGCAGUUGGUCAGAUCAGAGUGCCAGGGAUCCUGGGUCAGCUCGGGUCUGGCUAACCCCUACAGCUGGGCUGCUGGGCUGCUCAUUGCUAUGCUACUGGCUACUGCAGUAGCCUGGAUCAGCUUCUGAGAAGAGGAAAUGUUAACAAUUUGCACUGAAAGGCCAUGAGCUGGUCUUUGGCCACAACAUUUUUGUAGCCUUUUUUUUUUUUGUAAUUCGGUUGAUGGAAUGAAAAGAUUUUUUUUUUUAAUACAUAUAUAAUUAUUCACCCUUUUGGCUUCACUCUUUUUCACUGAAGGGAGAGAGUGUGUUUACGGGAAGUGGCUGGCUCACUGUUGGCUUCGCACCUUUAUCGUGUCUGAUAAGAGGCGUGUGUUUAUUGACGUUUGUUUCCGGUUAACGCCUCUUUGAUAACUGCUGGUGAUUAAAUGGGCCAGAGUAACUGGCUGGUUUUGGACAAACUAUAUUAUGAACAGUGUAAGGAAAGCUGGUCUUCUCUGAUGUGAAACUUUUGUAUGGACUUACAAAAAAUGAAUUAAAACAUCUGCUUAUAUGUA